rnacentral:rRNA from 1 species
UACGUAGGGUGCAAGCGUUGUCCGGAAUUAUUGGGCGUAAAGAGCUCGUAGGCGGUUCGUCGCGUCGGCUGUGAAAACCUGAGGCUCAACCUCAGGCCUGCAGUCGAUACGGGCGGACUUGAGUACUGCAGGGGAGACUGGAAUUCCUGGUGUAGCGGUGAAAUGCGCAGAUAUCAGGAGGAACACCGGUGGCGAAGGCGGGUCUCUGGGCCGGCCCUGACACUGAGACGCGAAGGCGUGGGGAGCGAACGGG